rnacentral:rRNA from 1 species
CUGCCAGUAGUCAUAUGCUUGUCUCAAAGAUUAAGCCAUGCACGUCUAAGGAUAAAUAUUAUUUAACCAUAAACCUGCGAAAGGCUCAUUAAAUCAGUAAUAAUCUAUUCUAUUAUUUAAUCCUAUUUGGAUAACUGUAGUAAUUCUAGAGCUAAUACAUGCAAAAAACCUGGACUUUACAGAACAGGUGUACUUAUUAGACUUUAAAACCGAUUACAAUUUAUUGUAAAUUUAAAAUGAAUUAAAAUAAGUUUAUGAAUCGCAGAUCAUUUUGUGAUGAUAAGAAUGAAUUUCUGCCCUAUCAACUUUCGAUGGUAAUGUAGUGGAUUACCAUGGUGAUGACGGGUAACGGGGAAGUUAGGUUUGAUUCCGGAGAAAAAGGACCUGAGAGACGGCCAUUACUUCUAAGGAAGGCAGCAG